AUGUGCUCUCGUAGAGUCGGGCUGCUUGGGAGUGCAGCCUGAAGCGGGUGGUAAAUUCCAUCUAAAGCUAAAUACUGGCGGGAGACCGAUAGCGAACAAGUACCGUGAGGGAAAGAUGCAAAGAACUUUGAAAAGAGAGUUAAAGAGUGCUUGAAAUUGGCAGGAGGAAACCCGGUUGCGCGUGGCAUUUGGCGUGGUCGACUCAGCCGCGCGCGGAGAUCUGUAGGGGACCUAACGGCCUCGUGGUCAGCGCGCGCGGUGCACUUCGGCCGCGUCGGUCAGCCGCGUUUCUGCGCGGCCCAUACGGCCGCGGGCAGGGCUUCGGCGCCGCCUGCGGUUUGGGGGUCGCGCGGGAUCCCGGCUGAUGCGCACGGGCGCAACCGACCCGUCUAGAAACACGGACCAAGGAGUCUGACGCGUGUGCGAGUACUAGAGUGGCAAGCUCGAGUGCGCAAUGAAAGUGAAGGGCGUGCCCCGUCAACCGAUCUUGAUCUUCUGUGAAGGGUUUGAGUGGAGCACAUCUGUCGGGACCCGAAAGAUGGUGAACUAUGCCUGAGGAGGGUGAAGCCAGAGGAAACUCUGGUGGAGGCUCGUAGCGAUACUGACGUGCAAAUCGUUCGUCGAACUUGGGUAUAGGGGCGAAAGACUAAUCGAACCAUCUAGUAGCUGGUUCCCUCCGAAGUUUCCCUCAGGAUAGCUUGAACGCCGACGGUUUUGUCAGGUAAAGCGAAUGAUUAGAGGCCUUGGGGCUGAAACAGCCUUAACCUAUUCUCAAACUUUAAAUGGGCAAGAGGCGCCGGAUGCUUGACUGAUCCGGCG
rnacentral:rRNA from 1 species